rnacentral:rRNA from 2 species
UCCGUAGGUGAACCUGCGGAAGGAUCAUUAAACAUAUUACGGGGGGCCGGACCCAAGGCGCGUGGUUUUCCACUGUGUCUUGACCCGCCCUGUCUGAAUAUUUAUACCCAUGUCUUUUGCGUACUCUUCGUUUCCUCGGUGGGCUUGCCCGCCGAUAGGACACUAUAAAAACCUUUUGUAAUUGCAGUCAGCGUCAGAAAUAACUUAAUAGUUACAACUUUCAACAACGGAUCUCUUGGUUCUGGCAUCGAUGAAGAACGCAGCGAAAUGCGAUAAGUAGUGUGAAUUGCAGAAUUCAGUGAAUCAUCGAAUCUUUGAACGCACAUUGCGCCCCUUGGUAUUCCAUGGGGCAUGCCUGUUCGAGCGUCAUUUGUACCCUCAAGCUUUGCUUGGUGUUGGGCGUUUUGUCCCGCGUUGCGCGUGGACUCGCCUUAAAGCGAUUGGCAGCCGGCAUAUUUGGCCUUGGAGCGCAGCACAUUUUGCGCUUCUCGUCAUGAAUGCGGGCGUCCAUUAAGCCUAUACAUUUAACUCUUGACCUCGGAUCAGGUAGGGAUACCCGCUGAACUUAAGCAUAUCAAUAAGCGGAGGA